CGCUGGUCCAAAUGCAGUGGUGUUUACAAUUAAUUGAUCACAUCCCGUUAUGGAUUUGUUUCCUUUCCACUCCCACUGCUUCACUUGACUAGCCUAAG
ensembl:misc_RNA Y_RNA Y RNA